rnacentral:rRNA from 1 species
UACGAAGGGGGCUAGCGUUGUUCGGAUUUACUGGGCGUAAAGCGCACGUAGGCGGAUUCUUAAGUCAGGGGUGAAAUCCCGAGGCUCAACCUCGGAACUGCCUUUGAUACUGGGGAUCUCGAGUUCGGGAGAGGUGAGUGGAAUUGCGAGUGUAGAGGUGAAAUUCGUAGAUAUUCGCAAGAACACCAGUGGCGAAGGCGGCUCACUGGCCCGAUACUGACGCUGAGGUGCGGAAGCGUGGGGAGCAAACAGG